UAACUUAACCCGAAUAAUUUAAUUAAAAAGACAUUUUCCAGCCCAAAGAUGUUGGGCCCAUAAAUUAAUAUCAGCCAAAAAAAAAAAAGGAACGUUAAGUCUCUAAAGUGUAACCCUAAAAAUCUACCUCCUGUCCUCACUCCUCAGCCGACAUCACUCACUAAAUUUCUAACCCUAAUUUCUCUCUCACUCUCUCUGUCUCUCACUCUCUCACUCUCUUUCUUCGUCGCCGCUACAACUCGCCGGUCUUCUGAGUUCCGCCGCAACAACUCGCCACGAGUACUAUUAGCAACAACAGUCCGAAUUUCUUCAACUGGUGGAAGCCGAACAAAUCACAGAAAUUCAAUCGAGAAAUUUCGUCUUCGUCUUCGUUGGUCUUCUACUCUUCUUCGUCUUCUUCAACAUUCAGCUUAAUAUGGCUGAUGAAGACUUCAAGGAGCAGAUUGAGCUCUCAUCAGAGGCAGAACUUGUGGUCUUGUGGUUGAGUUGUGGUCUUGUGAACUUGUGAACUUGUGGUCUUGUGGUUGAGUUGUGGUCUUGUGAACUUGUGGUUGUUUAACUCUAAAACAUUAAGGAUUUGGUUUGUAAUAUUUGGUUUGUAAUAUUUUUAAGUAUGAACUUGGUACUUAGUAGUGAGUAUUAUAUAUGUUAUUGCCAAGUAUGAACUUGGUUGGCUAAGUUUAUUGAAAUUUCAUUGAAUUA